ACGCUGGCGGGAGGCCUAACACAUGCAAGCCGAGCGGUAUUUGUCUUUCGGGACAGAGAGAGCGGCGUACGGGCGCGGAACACGUGUGCAACCUACCUUUAUCAGGGGGAUAGCCUUUCGAAAGGAAGAUUAAUACCCCAUAAUAUAUUGAUUGGCAUCAGUUAAUAUUGAAAACUCCGGUGGAUAGAGAUGGGCACGCGCAAGAUUAGAUAGUUGGUAGGGUAACGGCCUACCAAGUCAGUGAUCUUUAGGGGGCCUGAGAGGGUGAUCCCCACACUGGUACUGAGACACGGACCAGACUCCUACGGGAGGCAGCAGUGAGGAAUAUUGGACAAUGGGUGAGAGCCUGAUCCAGCCAUCCCGCGUGAAGGACGACGGCCCUAUGGGUUGUAAACUUCUUUUGUAUAGGGAUAAACCUACUCUCGUGAGAGUAGCUGAAGGUACUAUACGAAUAAGCACCGGCUAACUCCGUGCCAGCAGCCGCGGUAAUACGGAGGGUGCAAGCGUUAUCCGGAUUUAUUGGGUUUAAAGGGUCCGUAGGCGGAUCUGUAAGUCAGUGGUGAAAUCUCAUAGCUUAACUAUGAAACUGCCAUUGAUACUGCAGGUCUUGAGUAAAGUAGAAGUGGCUGGAAUAAGUAGUGUAGCGGUGAAAUGCAUAGAUAUUACUUAGAACACCAAUUGCGAAGGCAGGUCACUAUGUUUUAACUGACGCUGAUGGACGAAAGCGUGGGGAGCGAAC
rnacentral:rRNA from 1 species